UACGUAGGGUGCAAGCGUUAAUCGGAAUUACUGGGCGUAAAGCGUGCGCAGGCGGCUUUGCAAGACAGAUGUGAAAUCCCCGGGCUUAACCCUGGGAACUGCAUUUGUGACUGCAUGGCUGGAGUGCGGCAGAGGGGGAUGGAAUUCCGCGUGUAGCAGUGAAAUGCGUAGAUAUGCGGAGGAACACCGAUGGCGAAGGCAAUCCCCUGGCCUGCACUGACGCUCAUGCACGAAAGCGUGGGAGCAACAGG
rnacentral:rRNA from 1 species